UUUUUUUUUUUUUUCUCUUAUUGUGCUUUGACUGGAUCUUGUAAUCUCAUUGUUCAUUCACAGCAAUAUUUUAUGUACGAAAAUAAUUCUUAGAUACGAAGAAGGAUACAUAAAUUUUUCUAGAAAAUACUGUGAGACUGCCUUUUCAAAAACAGCAUAUGCUAGAUUGUUAGAAUUGGUAGCUGGCUUCUGGACAAUCAAGGUUCAAGGAAAGUCGCACGAGCCUGAUGUUAAGUGCUUCUGAGAAGAACAAGGACUUGAUUAGAAUUCUUCCUAACAGUUUCGUUUCAUUCAAUUCCUUUCUAUGAAAUUACAUAUCAACCAUAAAGAAGCUUACUCGUGAGGUCAAAAGAUUCCAGCUAAUCUCUUCCAUCUUAAAACAUCAUUUCUAUACAAUCCGAGAUAUUAUAAUAAUGGAGGCAUGCGCAGAAUUUACACAAAUGAAAAAUAUUAUAUACAUACAAUUCUCAUUCCUCUCUUGGGAUCCACCUGCUCCACCAUACACUCUUACUGCGUCUGCUAAGCUCAUCCAUGCUCUCAUUCAAUGUUUUUAUUAUCUUCCUUUGAAGGCGAAGAGCUGACGCAAGAAUAUUCCUUUGAGCACCUGCCUUCUUUCUGGGUUCCACACUUUCUCGAAGAUCUUGAAGCUGAGCCUCAGUGAAGCCACCAUCCUUCUCUGUUCCAGAUUUUGCCAUUAGCUGAAUAGUCCAGUUGGCAGCUUCCCCAUAAUCCUGCUGUGUUGUUCGAAAGAGUUGCAGCCUUAGCUUCUGAAUGAAAGACAAAGCUAACAGUCCUUCUCGAUCAAAGUAGGGAUGAGCUAAAGCUGCUUUCGCACUUAUUCUUUGUCGUGCUUUGUAUCGAACCAUUGAUUUUAGAAGCUCCCAUCCUAUCCCCCCAUCUAAAUUCAGCAACUCAAAGCCCCUUCGAAGUUCAGGGCCAGCACGUGGCUCUACACUUUUUCUCCAGGCAGCUAAGUCAUAAUCACAUCUUUUUAACUGACGGUUGAACUGUAUGAGGCUACUGUCAGUGUGUAAUCCUGGAAAUGCCUGUAAAAAGAAAAAUGUUCCAAGUUCAGUAGGUCUAAAUAACUGAAAUUCAUCAUGAUUAUUGUAAUAGAUAAAAAUGCUUUAAACAAGAAAUAAGUUAUGUUUGGCAAGAGUUACCACAUCAUAGAAACUAGACAUAACCAAGCCUCGAGCAUUCUGCUGUUUCAAGAGCUGAUGUCUAAAGAAUCAUAUCUCAGAUUCAUUGCAAAAUUGCAGAGAAUUUAAUUUUCCUACAAAUUUAUUCAAUGGCUAAUUCCCAAUAAAUUGAAAUGGGAUACUUCUUUUAAAACUUAUACCAGCAGCAGAGAAUUGAAUUCUCAAUUUAAAUUUUAUAUAAUUUCAAAAUCAAUUCACCAUUGCGAAUAGUCAAAGUUAAUGCUGAUGAAAAGUUUAAUUUUUUAUAGUCCAUGCAGAGUUUCCUUAUAUCUCAGAGACAAUAUCCACUAUAUUCUGCGAGCCCUUAUCAGUUAUAAUGGUGUUAACAUUUUUUACAAUAUAGUUAUAUGGAUUAGUAUGGUUCUGUGCUAUCAGGUUAUAGGAGCCGUGAAAAGCCAUGAUCCCUCAAUGCAAGCAUGGAAAGAUUUGACCUAAGUAACCAAAUUUCUACCUCUCUUGAAAUGUUUAUAUGAAUUUGUCUAAAGUUAAUAAACAAGUAUGAUGCAUGCUACCAAAUCUAUUCAAGACUUAAACAAGGUAACUAAAGUAACACAGCACUCUUUGCUACUCACCAUUUGUAGGAAAAUUAGCCCAGCACUGUAAAUAUCAAAUCUAUCUGGCAAAUUCAUCUGCCACAGCACCGGGGAGAGUAUAGUUGCCACUGGAGGUGAUGGUGCAGAUGGAGUUUGUGUGCUCAUGAUGUAUUGCUCUGGUGCAGCAUACCUUGGGUCCAAAAGAAACUCCUUUGGAAUAUAGUUGAUUCCCACUCGCAGAUCUGCAGCAGCUCCAAGAUCAAUUAUCUUGAAUGAACGAGACCCUUCGGAAAAAAUAAUAUUCUGCGGCUUAAUAUCCCUAUGCACUAUCCCAGUUGAAUGAAGACCAUCCAAUGCAAAUAGAAUCUGUCUCAUAAUAGUUUGAAUGAUUCUGUUUUCCCUUUCCAAUCCCUUAGGCAAGUCCGGAACCUCUUUGAGAAUCAUUGCCUCUACAUUGUAGGGGAAGUCUUUACUCUGCAUCAAAUCAUAAAGCGUGACCUCUCCUUCGAAACGCCAUAUAAGCCAAUAUUCACCACCUUUCUUUGAUGACCUCUGAAAAAAGUUUGAAGAUAACAAUGCAAGUCAGCAGGUAAAAAUCCAAAUGUGAAAUGGGACAAGCUAUUAGAGUAAAUAUCUUAAACUCUUGAGAUAAUGAUACCCUUAAUUUAUAUGGUAGUAGUAGUCAUAAUAGAUCAACACCUCAAGAAAUCCAUACACAAAAUCUGCACAGCUGCUUGCACAAGCCCUUCGAACACGCUCGUUCAUCCAAAUUUCCACUGCCCCAUAUUCAGUAGCCUUUUUCAAAACCAAGUCACCUUCCUUCUAGAAAAUAAGAAGAGGAGAGGGGAGGGGGGGAAGAUCCACGAAUCAACUUGCUAUAUUCAUUACUUCAAGUAAAUUGUACAAUAAAAGCUGAAAUACAUAUCCAGAAUUUGUAAAAUUUCUUAUCAUGAAAAUCCUGAAAAUGUACAAUGAAUAAAAAAUUAUUUCACUACAUGGUAAUCUCAUGAAUAAAUGAAAUUGGCAUAAAAUAUCAAUAUUUUGGGAUCUUUAGUCAUCCCAUGGAAAUUGAUGUUCAAGGAGCAUGUGAAGGUUGGAAUUUAUCAUUUCAAAAUUAGGAGAACAUAAUAAAAUUAACGACACAGAUUGAUUUUUAUGGUAUAUCACCAUAAAAAUUUCGUACUAUAAAACUUUCGGGGUUGCCAUCUUAGGCGUUUGCCUAAUUACAGGGGAUGAAUAGACGCAUGAUCCUUUAUGAGACACAAAGAGAAUUAAUUCCAUGGUCUAUUAUUAGGACAACCAAUUCAACUAAGUCCGCCCUGCUGACCUAAGAAAUUGAGGUUAAAAAUAAUUAUAGAUGUGGGUCAAAUUCUAAUUUAAUUCAUUUUAAUUUAAAUUUAUACGAGUGAUUAAAUUACUUUUCACAUCAAAAUAGCUAGUUAAACUAAUAUUACAAUCUAAUCACUUACAUAUUAAACUUUUACUUCGUGAUGUGGUUCCACCAGGUACAAGACAGACCAAGAAACAAAUAAGAAAUGCAUAGAGAUUAAAUUCAAAAUGAGAUUUCAUCAAACACUUGAAACCUUGGAAGAAGGCUUCUUAGCCAAUGAAACUCUAUAAACGGCUCCAAAGGCUCCCUCACCCAACUUCUUCCCCAAAACAAAGUCAUCCUUUCUAAAAGAGGGUCUAAAAACCCUCUCAACAAAAGCCAGAAAAAACACGUCAAAGAAACCAGGAGCCACACCAGGAGUAGCCCAAAGAUAAGAGAGUGCAGCCAGAGCCAAAGCUGCACCAGGAGCAGUAAUCGUCAACCAAUUAGACUUCGGCAGAGUGCUUCUAUAUAUGAUAUUACCACACUCCAUCACAGUGCAUGGUAGUCCAACCCCAACACCCAAAAAGAAGUUGUGAACGGCAUCGAAGAAUUCCCCUCCUGAUGCAAGGACUGAAAGUGUUCUGUGAGCUGUGACUAUGCAUCUAGGAGAAGGCUUGGGGCUAAGCGUUCUUUCCAAAAAAUGGAGAAGAGGGCCUUGGUUUGUGGGUUUGGAGUUUGAUUGGGACAACAGCAGCUCCACCUGGUGCAACGGUGGCCAUGUCACAGCACAGAAAGAAGUAGCAGUUUGAGGGGGAGAAGUACAAGACACUGAUAUUGCUUCGCUUUGAAUCUACUUUCAAAUUUAGGCCACCGCUCUUUUUUUU
rnacentral:misc_RNA from 1 species